UAUGAAUCAGGAUAACUACAUGGAGGAAGCCUUAAAAGUGAGGAAUUUGCUCCAAGAAUUUCUUAAGAAACAUGAUGGUGUGAGGUUCCCUACUAUACUUGGGCUGAGAGAGCACAUAUUUACUGGAAGUGUUUCUUCUCUCGCUUGGUUUAUGUCAAAUCAAGAGACAAGUUUUGUGACAAUAGGCCAGAGACUGUUGGCAAACCCUCUGAAGGUUCGAUUCCAUUAUGGCCACCCUGAUAUUUUUGACAGACUUUUCCACCUUACAAGGGGUGGGAUUAGCAAAGCUUCUAAGAUUAUCAACUUAAGUGAGGACAUAUUUGCUGGCUUUAAUUCU
rnacentral:misc_RNA from 1 species